rnacentral:rRNA from 1 species
UACGUAGGGUGCAAGCGUUAAUCGGAAUUACUGGGCGUAAAGCGUGCGCAGGCGGUUUUGUAAGUCAGAUGUGAAAUCCCCGGGCUCAACCUGGGAAUUGCGAUGGAGACUGCAAGGCUUGAAUCUGGCAGAGGGGGGUAGAAUUCCACGUGUAGCAGUGAAAUGCGUAGAGAUGUGGAGGAACACCGAUGGCGAAGGCAGCCCCCUGGGUCAAGAUUGACGCUCAUGCACGAAAGCGUGGGGAGCAAACAGG